rnacentral:rRNA from 1 species
ACUCAAAUGAAUUGACGGGGCCCCGCACAAGCGGCGGAGCAUGUUGCUUAAUUCGAUGCAACGCGAAGAACCUUACCUGGGCUUGACAUGCAGGGUGAAACCCGUGAAAGCGGGCGCUCUUCGGAGCCUGCACAGGUGGUGCAUGGCUGUCGUCAGCUCGUGCCGUGAGGUGUUGCCUUAAGUGGCGCAACGAGCGCAACCCCUGUCCUUAGUUGCCAGCGGAUCAUGCCGGGAACUCUAGGGAGACUGCCGGUGCCAAACCGGAGGAAGGUGGGGAUGACGUCAAGUCAUCAUGCCCCUUACGUCCAGGGCUGCAAACAUGCUACAAUGCUCGGUACAAAGGGCUGCGAUCCCGCAAGGGGGAGCGAAUCCCAAAAAGCCGGGCUCAGUUCGGAUCGGGGUCUGCAACCCGACCCCGUGAAGUUGGAGUCGCUAGUAAUCGCAGAUCAGCACUGCUGCGGUGAAUACGUUCCCGGGGCUUGUACACACCGCCCGU